GGAGGGUCAAAACCUUCCUUUGUAUGAUUUUGUUUUGUGCCACUUUUUUGAUUUGCUUCCUAUCUUUAAGCUUGAUUCAAUCUGCUGAUGCCCAAAAUGUCUGAGGUGUCCAGCCGGUAAAGGCCAGGAAAUACUACAGUACUGCGAUGGAGGCUGUUCUUAUCCGCUUCUUUGGCUUCGUGCAUGACACACUAACACACCUGAGCAAUCUGUCCGCCUGUCUCCAGAGGUCCACCAUCACCAUAGCAGAAGCCCACUGCUCCUUGUUCUCAACACAGACAGUACUUAAAGAAGUAAAAAAACAGAGAAGGGCCCAUGAUGAAGGCCACAAUGGCCAACAGAUAUGAGGGGAUUUCGCUGACCAGGUGACAUCAAGACCCUCGUCACCUCACAGGACAAAAUGCUUCACAGGCGAGUCGUGAUUAUGACUGACAGGUUCCAGGUCGCCAGUGUAGGGGUUCUGUGUGCCAACAAGCUGGUCAGCUUCACUAACUGGCCAGUGUCAGGAGAUGAAGCAGCAGGUUACUUUAUGUGUUGUAUUAAAACCCCACCUGUUCCGUUUGGUUGUUAUUGACUUUGUUAGUUUCCUCUUCUGUCUGAGUGCCAUUUUUUGGUUUUCUUGCUGGGAAUGUAACAUUUCCCAACCCACCGUACUCAGUAGUGAAGAAUGUCAUUGAGGGGUCCUCAGAGUCCGUUGCGCUUUGAGACAGUUGAGAGGGCUCUGUCCCAGGGUCCAUUUCAGUAGUGUUAGGGGCAGCCACACCAUCCCCUGGAACUGGAGGGGGGAAACACGUCAGCAUUAGAGAAGCAAGGCUCAAGCCACACUCACCUUAGAAUACACCUCUCGUUGCCAUCAUUUGGCCGUAUUUGAGAAGUGGAUAAUCUAUUUGUCAACUAUUUGUCAUUUCACGAUUGCUUUCAAAAUAGAAACGGACAAUAUUCAUACGAUUACCGGUGUUUUAUCUCUUAACACUCAAAAGUUGGUUUCUCCACUGACUGUUUGAUAAGGGGAACCAUGGGGUGUUAAAAACACUCGGAGACUAGCGUUUUGACUGUCAAUGUGUUCAGCCUGAGACAUGGCAUGUAAUUAUCCUGACACUCACACCUCACCAUUGCUACAGCCCAACCUUCCUUUGUCACAGACCCACUGAAAAUAUCCUGAAAAACUCCUCAGUCCUUAUGUCUGACUGAAAUGACACCCACUCUGCAUUUAAGAGCAUGCUGUGUUGGUUGUGUCUCAACCGAUGGCGGGCACAACUCAAACACCUCCAUUAUGCAAAAUACGGCCUACACUACAACAUAUGCAAACAUCUAUAUUACAAUAGAAGUUUAUGAAUUGUUUGAUAAUUGAUGUUAAAUGAUAUAAUAGUUUGACAACCCCUGUUUGUAAGCUUUUAAAUGAUAUCAAACACAACCUUUUAUGUUUUCCCGUGAUGAUGACAUGGAAAUCUCAUGGUAGGGUGGGGUACGGAAAAUGGGUCAACUCCUAAAUGUCUUGGCAUUAGGUCCAAAGAGCUACUUUUCUGUGGAAAGUAUUAGGGCCAAGUGAAGAGAACAAAUAAAUAAAGAGUGAUGGGUGGUAGUACUUUUUUUUCACAUGGAUUGUACUUUAAAAAUAUAUAUUUUGAGAAUAAAGUUGAAGUACAUUUGAUUUAGGCUUGCCGU